GCUAGACGAGCGGGAUGGCACAGCCAGAGCUGUUGUUAUGCUCAUAGCAGAAUACUGCUCAGUGAGCAGAGAUAGUCAGUGCGUUCAAAAAGUUCUUGAGCGAAUUGCUUCUGGGAAUGUUUUGCAGCGAAGAAAUGCUAUUGAUAGGCCAAACUGAUACAAAGAGAUGGUACUUUCAAACUUUCUGGUGGACCAAUGUAAAAUGC